UACGUAGGGUACAAGCGUUGUCCGGAAUUAUUGGGCGUAAAGAGCUCGUAGGCGGUUUGUCGCGUCGAAUGUGAAAUCCCGGGGCUCAACCCCGGGUCUGCAUUCGAUACGGGCAGACUAGAGUUCGGUAGGGGAGUCUGGAAUUCCUGGUGUAGCGGUGAAAUGCGCAGAUAUCAGGAGGAACACCGGUGGCGAAGGCGGGACUCUGGGCCGAUACUGACGCUGAGGAGCGAAAGCGUGGGGAGCAAACAGG
rnacentral:rRNA from 1 species